rnacentral:rRNA from 1 species
AAAGGAAGUAUUUUGCCUUAGACAGGUAGGAGGUUGGCUUAGAAGCAGCCACCCUUUAAAGAGUGCGUAAUAGCUCACUACUCGACGUUGUCGCAAGAUGACGAGGCAAGAUGCGCCGAAAAUGUAACGGGGCUAAGCAUAAUACCGAAAUUGUGAGUGCGCACAGCGCGCGCGGUAGGAGAGCAUUUUCAAUGCAGUGAAGGUACACUGUGAAGUGUACUGGAGCGUUGAGAAGGGAGAAUGUUGGGAUGAGUAACCGCAAGAUCGGUGAAAGACCGAUCCGCCGAAAGCCUGAGGUUUCCUCCGCGAUGGUAAUCAUCGGAGGGUUAGGCGUUCCUAAGGAUAACCGUACUUUAGGGUAUGGGAAGCCGAUGGACAGCCGGUUAAUAUUCCGGCCCCGCUUGCACAUUUUAGGGAAUAACGGGUGAUAUAAGAUCGAGCGCAUUAUUGGAUUUGACGUCUUUGCUCCUAGAGCAGUGAUUAGGUAAAUCCGGUCACAGCCGCAAGGCAUGUUCGAAAGCAAAAGAAAUCCGUCGUGAGACGGAAAUUCGAUCGAAGAGUGCUCCAAGAAAAGUUUCUAAAUUUAAUGUGUAAGCGUACGUACCGCAAAACCGACACAGGUAGGCUGGUAUAAGUGUACCGAGGCGAACGGGUGAUUAUUGGCUAAGGAACUCGGCAAAAAAGCGGCCGUAAGUUCGCGAUAAGGCCUGCCCAGACUAAUCUCUGGGCCGCAGCUAAAGAACCCCUGGCGACUGUUUAUCAAAAACACAACUCUGUGCAAAGCCGAAAGGCAACGUAUACAGGGUGACGCUUGUCCGGUGCCGGUACGUUAACGGUGAAGGUGGUGUGCAGCAAUGUACAUUGCUAACGCCCGAAGCGCCGGUGAACGACGGCGAUAACUAUAAUCGUCCAAAGGUAGGAAAUUAAGCGAAAUUCCUUGUGGGGUAAGUUCCCACGCGCAUGAAUAGCGGAACGACUGGGGGACUGUCUCAGCCAAUAGCCCGGUGAAAAUGCAAUGUCUGUAAAGAUGCAGACUACCCGCACCAAGACGGAAAGACCCCGGAAGCUUCACUGCAGUUUGGUAUUGGUCUACGAGUUGUUAUACGUAGCGUAGUGAGUAGGAUUUGAAGUCACGUUUUCGGAUGUGAUGGAUCCGCCAAUGAAACACUCAUUUUAACGAUUUGUAGCUCUAACCGGCCCCGCCCUCUAGGCUUAUGACAUGAGGGACUGUAAAGUUUCCAAGUAAUAUUGGAGUUUUAUCGUUCCACAAAUUUGUCACAGGCAUAGAGGGCUGGGUCGAGACAGUGCCUGACGGGCAGUUUAAGUGGGGCACUUGCCUCCUAAAAAGUAAUGGAGGCGUUCAUCAAGGUUGGCUAGCUGCGGAUGGAAAUCGCAGCGAUAGCGUAAAGGCAAAAGCCAGCUUAACUGCAAGGCGGAUGUGCCGCGCAGGUGCGAAAGCAUGACUUAGUGAACCGACUCUAAAAGAGAAAUUUGAACAGUAAAAUUUGCUGUUCAAAUUUCUUCGCUCGUAGGAGCGGAGAAGAUCAUCAAAUAAAAGCUACUCCGGGGAUAACAGGCUGGUACCACCCGAGCGUUCAUAGCGACGGUGGUGUUCGGCACCUCGAUGUCGGCUCGCCCUAUCCUGGGACUGAAGAAGGCCCCAAGGGUUUGGCUGUUCGCCAAUUAAAAGGGUACGUGAGACAGGUUGGUCCAUAUCUGGUGCGGGCGUUGAUACUUGAGGAGGGUUGGUCUUAGUACGAGAGGACCGGACUGAACGAACCUCUGGUGUACGAGCUGUUCUGCCAAGAGCAGCGCUCGGUAGCUAUGUUCGGUUCUGAUAAGCGCUGAAAGCAUAUAAGCGCGAAGCAGGCUCCAAGAUUAAGUAUCUAGGGCUCUCCAAUAUAGUAACUUUCGUAACGAAAUUGACAGAUUGGGGAGCCCGAUGAAUCGUUGUAGAUGACGACGUUGAUAGGGCUCAGGUGUAAGCAUAGUAAUGUGUUCAGCCGAGAGCUACUAAUAAUUCA